AGCGUCUGUAGCCGGCUUUGUAAGUCUGUUUUCAAAUACUACAGCUCAACUGUAGGAAGGGAAUAGAUACUGCACAGCUAGAAAACUUGAGGGGUUAGUGGAAUUUCCGGUGGAGCGGUGAAAUGUGUUGAUAUCGGAAGGAACGCCAAAAGCGAAAGCAGCUAACUAUCAAACUUUUGACGGUGAGAGACGAAAGCUUGGGUAGCAAACGGGAUUAGAUACCCCGGUAGUCCAAGCCGUAAAUGAUGUUCGCUAGGGGUCUGUAUUUAUAUGGGUCCCGUAAUCUAACGAGUUAAGCGAAUCGCCUGGGUAGUAUAUUCGCAAGAAUGAAACUCAAAGGGAUAGGGGGGGGAACACACAAGCAGUGGAUGAUCUAGAUUAAUUGGAUAAUAAGCCGGGAACCUUACCUGGGCUUGACAUGAUCUUUGUCGUGUAUGAAAGUACACUACUCUAGCUUGCUAGAGAGGGAUCACAGGUGGUGCAUGGUCGUCGUCAGCUCGUGCCGCAAGGUGUCUAGUUAAGUCUAGUAACGAGCGCAACCCUCAUCGUGUGUUAGGAUGUCACACGAGACUGCCUGGGCAACCAGGAGGAAGGAGAGGAUGACGUCAGAUCUUCAUG
rnacentral:rRNA from 1 species